rnacentral:rRNA from 1 species
CGGUGUGUACAAGACCCGGGAACGUAUUCACCGCAGCGUUGCUGAUCUGCGAUUACUAGCGACUCCGACUUCACGGGGUCGAGUUGCAGACCCCGAUCCGAACUGAGACCGGCUUUAAAAGGAUUCGCUUAACCUUGCGGCAUCGCAGCCCUUUGUACCGGCCAUUGUAGCAUGUGUGAAGCCCUGGACAUAAGGGGCAUGAUGACUUGACGUCAUCCCCACCUUCCUCCGAAUUGACCCCGGCAGUCUCUCACGAGUCCCCACCAUUACGUGCUGGCAACAUGAGACAAGGGUUGCGCUCGUUGCGGGACUUAACCCAACAUCUCACGACACGAGCUGACGACAGCCAUGCACCACCUGCACACGGGCCACAAGGGAACGCCUAUCUCUAGACGCGUCCUGUGCAUGUCAAACCCAGGUAAGGUUCUUCGCGUUA